AGCAUUAUCUUUAUUAAGAGCAAAGACUGCAGCUUUAACUUCUUGAUGAGAGGGAAGCAAUGUGAGAACAGCAUUAAUGUCAUCAGUUAUCAAAUUUGGAAUGACCUCCUGUGCAAGUAAUUGUUCUUGCAAAACAGUGUUAGUACAAAAAAGAGAUUUAUAAUAGUUAACAAUAUGUUCAGCAAUUUGAGAUUGAUCAGUGAGGACAUUCUCUCCAACUUGCAGAGAGGUG
rnacentral:lncRNA from 1 species